ACUCCUACGGGAGGCAGCAGUGGGGAAUAUUGCACAAUGGGGGAACCCGUGCAUGCAGCCAUGCCGCGUGUGUGAAGAAGGCCUUCGGGUUGUAAAGCACUUUCAGUAGGGAGGAAGGUAGUGUAGUUAACAUCUGCACUAUUUUGACGUUACCUACAGAAGAAGCACCGGCUAACUCCGUGCCAGCAGCCGCGGUAAUACGGAGGGUGCGAGCGUUAAUCGGAAUUACUGGGCG
rnacentral:rRNA from 1 species